UACGUAGGGGGCUAGCGUUGUCCGGAUUAUUGGGCGUAAAGAGCGUGUAGGCGGCCAGGUAGGUCUGCUGUGAAAACUCGGAGGCUUAACCUCGAGAUGUCGGCGGAAACCAUCUGGCUAGAGUCCGGAAGAGGAGAGUGGAAUUCCUGGUGUAGCGGUGAAAUGCGCAGAUAUCAGGAAGAACACCCGUGGCGAAGGCGGCUCUCUGGGACGGUACUGACGCUGAGACGCGAAAGCGUGGGGAGCGAACAGG
rnacentral:rRNA from 1 species